GUGUUCGCUUUGAUAACACAUAUACUAAAAUUGGAAAGAUACAGAGAAGAUUAGCAUGGCCCCUGUGCAAGGAUGAUAUGCAAAUUCGUGAAGCGUUUCAUAUUUAA